AAUGAACGCUGGCGGCAUGCCUAACACAUGCAAGUCGAACGAAGGCUUCGGCCUUAGUGGCGCACGGGUGCGUAACGCGUGGGAAUCUGCCCCUUGGUUCGGAAUAACAGUUAGAAAUGACUGCUAAUACCGGAUGAUGACGUAAGUCCAAAGAUUUAUCGCCGAGGGAUGAGCCCGCGUAGGAUUAGCUAGUUGGUGUGGUAAGAGCGCACCAAGGCGACGAUCCUUAGCUGGUCUGAGAGGAUGAUCAGCCACACUGGGACUGAGACACGGCCCAAACUCCUACGGGAGGCAGCAGUGGGGAAUAUUGGACAAUGGGCGAAAGCCUGAUCCAGCAAUGCCGCGUGAGUGAUGAAGGCCUUAGGGUUGUAAAGCUCUUUUACCCGGGAUGAUAAUGACAGUACCGGGAGAAUAAGCUCCGGCUAACUCCGUG
rnacentral:rRNA from 1 species